rnacentral:sRNA from 1 species
UCCCCGGAGCUGCACUCCGUGCUGGAGCC